UACGGAGGGGGCAAGCGUUGUUCGGAAUUACUGGGCGUAAAGGGCGCGCAGGCGGCUGCUCAAGUCAGGCGUGGAAGGCCUGGGCUCAACCCGGGAAUUGCGCUUGAGACUGGGCUGGCUUGAGUGCGGGAGAGGAUGGUGGAAUUCCCAGUGUAGAGGUGAAAUUCGUAGAUAUUGGGAAGAACACCGGUGGCGAAGGCGGCCAUCUGGACCGCAACUGACGCUGAGGCGCGAAAGCGUGGGGAGCGAACAGG
rnacentral:rRNA from 1 species